rnacentral:rRNA from 1 species
UACGUAGGGCGCGAGCGUUGUCCGGAAUUAUUGGGCGUAAAGAGCUUGUAGGCGGUUUGUCGCGUCUGCUGUGAAAAUCCGGGGCUCAACCCCGGACUUGCAGUGGGUACGGGCAGACUAGAGUGUGGUAGGGGAGACUGGAAUUCCUGGUGUAGCGGUGGAAUGCGCAGAUAUCAGGAGGAACACCGAUGGCGAAGGCGGGUCUCUGGGCCGAUACUGACGCUGAGGAGCGAAAGCGUGGGGAGCGAACAGG